rfam:Agrobacterium radiobacter K84 chromosome 1, complete sequence.
GCCCUUUCCUUCGCCCAAGGAAAACACUAUAUCAGCCAUGCCGGUCUUCGGGCCGGCUAUGGCGAUAAACGAGCGAUGUAAUAAACCUAUUGGACCCGGGGGCGGUACCCGGCGCCUCCACCAAAAACCGGCCAGGCGAGCUUUGCUUCAGACCGGCUUUUGAUGGGGGCGAAAUAGGAUCGACAAGGGCGUAAAGAUCGACUUUUUGCUCGGCAUUGUACCACCGUUAUCGGGCUAAAAUUGUAGUUGCAAACGACAACUAUGCGGAAGCUCGUCUCGCUGCCUAACGGUGGUGUGACACUUCAAAUCAAGUCCUGAAGGUUCGCACCUUAAGGCGGGGUUCGAAGGUACCUGGCAACAGAAACCUUCACC